rnacentral:rRNA from 1 species
GAUGAACGCUGGCGGCGUGCCUAAUACAUGCAAGUCGAGCGAACAGACGAGGAGCUUGCUCCUCUGACGUUAGCGGCGGACGGGUGAGUAACACGUGGAUAACCUACCUAUAAGACUGGGAUAACUUCGGGAAACCGGAGCUAAUACCGGAUAAUAUAUUGAACCGCAUGGUUCAAUAGUGAAAGACGGUUUUGCUGUCACUUAUAGAUGGAUCCGCGCCGCAUUAGCUAGUUGGUAAGGUAACGGCUUACCAAGGCAACGAUGCGUAGCCGACCUGAGAGGGUGAUCGGCCACACUGGAACUGAGACACGGUCCAGACUCCUACGGGAGGCAGCAGUAGGGAAUCUUCCGCAAUGGGCGAAAGCCUGACGGAGCAACGCCGCGUGAGUGAUGAAGGUCUUCGGAUCGUAAAACUCUGUUAUUAGGGAAGAACAAAUGUGUAAGUAACUAUGCACGCCUUGACGGUACCUAAUCAGAAAGCCACGGCUAACUACGUG